rnacentral:rRNA from 1 species
UACGAAGGGGGCUAGCGUUGCUCGGAAUCACUGGGCGUAAAGGGUGCGUAGGCGGGUCUUUAAGUCAGAGGUGAAAUCCUGGAGCUCAACUCCAGAACUGCCUUUGAUACUGAGGAUCUUGAGUUCGGGAGAGGUGAGUGGAACUGCGAGUGUAGAGGUGAAAUUCGUAGAUAUUCGCAAGAACACCAGUGGCGAAGGCGGCUCGCUGGCCCGAUACUGACGCUGAGGCACGAAAGCGUGGGGAGCAAACAGG